rnacentral:tRNA from 2 species
GCGCUCAUAGCUCAACUGGAUAGAGUGUCUGACUACGAAUCAGAAGGUUCGGGGUUCGAGUCCCUGUGGGCGCACCA